rnacentral:rRNA from 1 species
AUUGAACGCUGGCGGCAGGCCUAACACAUGCAAGUCGGACGGUAGCACAGAGGAGCUUGCUCCUCGGGUGACGAGUGGCGGACGGGUGAGUAAUGUCUGGGGAUCUGCCCGAUAGAGGGGGAUAACCACUGGAAACGGUGGCUAAUACCGCAUAACGUCGCAAGACCAAAGAGGGGGACCUUCAGGCCUCUCACUAUCGGAUGAACCCAGAUGGGAUUAGCUAGUAGGCGGGGUAACGGCCCACCUAGGCGACGAUCCCUAGCUGGUCUGAGAGGAUGACCAGCCAGACUGGAACUGAGACACGGUCCAGACUCCUACGGGAGGCAGCAGUGGGGAAUAUUGCACAAUGGGCGCAAGCCUGAUGCAGCCAUGCCGCGUGUAUGAAGAAGGCCUUCGGGUUGUAAAGUACUUUCAGCGGGGAGGAAGGCGAUGUGGUUAAUAACCGCAUUGAUUGACGUUACCCGCAGAAGAAGCACCGGCUAACUCCGUGCCAGCCGCCGCAGUAA